GACGAACGCUGGCGGCGUGCCUAAUACAUGCAAGUUGAGCGCUGAAGGUUGGUACUUGUACCAACUGGAUGAGCAGCGAACGGGUGAGUAACGCGUGGGGAAUCUGCCUUUGAGCGGGGGACAACAUUUGGAAACGAAUGCUAAUACCGCAUAAAAACUUUAAACACAAGUUUUAAGUUUGAAAGAUGCAAUUGCAUCACUCAAAGAUGAUCCCGCGUUGUAUUAGCUAGUUGGUGAGGUAAAGGCUCACCAAGGCGAUGAUACAUAGCCGACCUGAGAGGGUGAUCGGCCACAUUGGGACUGAGACACGGCCCAAACUCCUAAGGGAGGCAGCAGUAGGGAAUCUUCGGCAAUGGACGAAAGUCUGACCGAGCAACGCCGCGUGAGUGAAGAAGGUUUUCGGAUCGUAAAACUCUGUUGGUAGAGAAGAACGUUGGUGAGAGUGGAAAGCUCAUCAAGUGACGGUAACUACCCAGAAAGGGACGGCUAACUACGUG
rnacentral:rRNA from 1 species